UGCUAUAUUUCUCUUUUGUAGGUGGCCUCUUCCUCAUUCCUUGUCUUCUUUUCUUCAAAAACUUCUUAAACUUUCUAGUAAUGAGGGCCAUUUCUUCAUCCUGCUCUUUAUUUUCUGUAUCAUCGGAUUCUUCAUCAGGUUGAGCAGUGGAUUUGAGGAUGAUUAUCCUCUUCUUUUUGACAUCUUCUUCUUGGUGUUGUUUCAUGCUUAGCUCAUGUAUCAUCAGCGACCUAGAAGCUCCUCCAAGGAUAGGAUAUUCAGAUCUUUGGCUUCUUGGAUUGCGGUCAUUUUGGCC
rnacentral:lncRNA from 1 species